GUAAUUGUAUAUUUCAUUAACGUGAAAGCCCUAACCCCCAAUCGCUCGUCCGAUAAUCUGUUCACAAUCCCGAGAAAUCCAGAAGCAAUUUCCGAAAUCUUACGGUGAUCGAACCUACUCCAGACUUGUACAAGGUAUUAAGCUAAUGAGAUUCAGAAAAGGAACUAGAGUGGAGGUUUUGAGCAUCAAAGAGGCACCUUAUGGCGCGUGGCGGUCAGGCGAGAUAAUAUCGGGUAAUGGUCACACGUACAGUGUUAGGUAUUACUCUUAUGGACUCUCAAACGAUGAAACAUUGGAGGAGAGAGUUGCAAGGAAGAUGAUCAGGCCGUGUCCUCCGCAAAUUGAUGUAGAUAGAUGGGCAGCUGGUGAAUUUGUGGAGGUUCUUGAUGAUAUCUCCUGGAAAACCGGUAUGGUCCUGGACGAGUUACCUGGAAAAUACUACGUGGUUCGGUUACUUGGCGCCACAGAAAAACUCACGGUUCAUAAAGUUAACCUCAGGGCUCGACAAGCUUGGCAAGAUGAUAGAUGGGUUAUGAUUGGGAAGGUAUCUUGCUCUGUGAAGUCCUCGACGCUUACCGGAUCAGAUGUACACCAGAGUCUAAAGCCCUUUCUGAACAGCAAGGUACUCCAGGAGACUAGUGUUGCUUCGUUAGGAAUGUUGAAGAGACCUUUACCUUGUGAUUGGUAUGAGUCUGCUGAAUCAUGCACGGGAAGUCCUAAGAGGAAACGAACAAUGGAGGAAGAAGAAGAUCAGAACCGGUUUGCUUCCUCUUCACUGCAGAAGGUAGAUGGUAAAAUGCGUGUGCAAGCUUACAUUAACGAUGAUAAAAGUGGUUUCCGUCAAUUGGUGAGGGUAAGAUCAAAAAAGUUUAGUGAAUGUGUUGGUACAGGAAGCUCAGUCUCUAAUGGUUGUUAUGAUACCGAUGCAUGCUCAGUUGGUAGUUGUAGCCCUAUUAGCUAUGAUGAGAGUGACGCGUCAACUUCUUUUCUAGAUGGUUCUAGUCAAGAGUCCGACUCUUGUGGUAGUGAUGCUGAAUCUUCGAAAGAAGCAUUUGGCUACGUUGGAGAAGCUAGUGGUGGAGGAGCGAGAUCUUGUAGACCUGAACUAUACACCUACCGCAGUACACUAGGGAAGUUAUUUGCUUCCGGGCCCUUGAAUUGGGAUCAGGAAGCAUCACUAACCGAUCUCCGACUUUCUCUAAAUAUAUCAACUGAUGAACAUUUGAUGGAGCUAAGAAAUCUAAAAUCAGUUGGUACCUAUAGUGAAUAUUGUUAGUAUCAUUUCUUUUUGAUCAUUAACAGUCUUGUCUUCAGGUGUUGGCCAUACUUCCCUGCAAUGUGGAACCAACUGUUAUAUAAUUUUUCUUUUCCCAGAGGGUUCUUAUAGUGAUUGCAUAGACAGCAGAAGGGAAGAGUAUGUAUGUGAACUCCAAUUCUUAUAAUGUUUCUUCUUAUAGUCAGCAUAAAUUUUCUUCUGUUGUAAUCUCUGGAUAAUGAAGUUUAAGAGAAGUUUACAGUAUCCAUGCUCUAAGAUAAGUCUUGUUUUGGAGGAUUGUGUGUUACGAAGCUGUCUUUUAUAUACAUAUAUAAUUUAGUUUCUUGUGUUUAAGCUUCUUGAUAAGAUGAGUCAUUUUGUAUUAUCCUCCUUAGUGGUGGAUUAUUGAACUUCCCCUACAUUUUUCAGGAACAGUGUAGCCAUGCCGGGUGCCUGCAGAUCUCGCUUGCUUCUAGAGAUUUUUACUCUGAUGCAUUGGGUUUACUGAAUGGUGUUGUUUGGGAUAACUCUUUGCUCAGGCUUUGAACUGUUCCUUUCCCUUAAGGAGAAACAUGUACAGCCUGGUAUGGUUGGAUAAGUUUACCGAUUAUUGGUAAGUAUUAAUUGCACUAUACGGUCUGGUUGUGUGGAAUACUCUGAUAGUAGUCUAUGCUAUUUCAGCAAAUGUAUUACUAAUAGAUUGCGAAGUCGAUUCUCAUGACUUUUCUUCUAACCACACUGAGCGCGAAACUGUCUAUGCUUGUUAGUUUGUAGCAUGUGUAUUUUGGAAAUUUCACAGGCCAUCAAAAGCUACACCGAAACCUGCCUUUAUUUCUUAAUAACUCAUGGUUAAUGCAUUGAAGCUGAUUUACAGAGGUACCGGGAUUCAUAUGUUCGCAAAUACAUUUUGUUGCUCGUAUAUCAAAAUUAUCAAGGUAAGGUAGCUGCUCGCUUGUCAACUUCAACUUGUGCCUUACGUUUUAAGCUAAGAAAUUGGAUAGUCGAGGACGUAGAAGAAGAAAAAAGAGGAAUAAAAAGCUAUUAUUUUAGAAAAAACAUGUAUUUAAGGAUUUUUUGUUGUUAUACUACACGCAUUGAAGGAUAUGUAUCUGCCAUAUAAUACUUUGUAGUCUAUAGUGUAUACUAAUAAACUAAAUGAAAUAAUAUCCUGGAAAUAAA